UCUCGAUUUACAUAUAUUAUGAUACGUGUGAUCAAUAGUUAAUGUAACCUUCAAAAAGGAUAAAAGUCCAAUAUGCGGAUUUUCGGGUGUGUUUAGGUAGGAAAAACAGAGAAUCCCCCAUGAAGGACAUUUCAAACCAAAAAAAAGUUAUGCUUUUUAUGACUGUUGUUAUUCAUACUAUAUUUUCCUUUAAAAAUGAAAUUGAUUUAGUGUGUCCUUAUUACAUAAAAAACAACUUUUUAAAGAAAAAGUUGUAACAUCGAUAAAUUGUACCGAUAUAGCCUCUUAAUAAAGGAUAAAGGUAUAAACAUCGCCGUAGCUCAAUCAGUAGAGCACAGAACUACUAAUAUAUGAUGACUUUGAAGUAAGGGUUCAAAUCUCGCUUAAUAUAUUUGCAUUUUUUGUGUUGUUAUAUUAAAUUUUAAUGUUUCUAUCAUAUUUUUUCGGAUGUUUGCUUAUUUCAUAGAGUCUUUCUGGUUCAUUUUUGACUAUAUAGUUUACUGGUAUAUCAUUCAACAUGUAUCAAAGAAAAAAAAAUGUAUCGCUUAUUGUGUGCAUUCCUAUGACUGUCCAUACUCUUGACGAACUUUCUAUUUAUGUGUUUACAUUUAUUACAUAUAUUCAAGGAACAACUGCCGUUAAACUGAUGUAGGUGCCUGUACAUAACCAAUAACACGAGAAAUAAUUCUAUAGCAAUGGAGCCUACAUGUUGUGAGUGUGAUAUACACAUAUUAACUUCAAAUAAGGCCAUUGUAUACAAGUUUCAAAACAACACAAACAAUUUUUCGAAACCUUUUUUGAACAUGGCAUUAUAUGUAAAAAUGCAGUCAACAACAAUUUUCUCGCCAAUUCACAAACUAUAUAGAUACUAGUAUUGAAUUUUUUACCACCGUCCCUACACCGGUACCUAAGUCAUCGAGAAAACACAACAGAUCAAAUCAAUUACACUACAAAUAGUGAUUGUAGGUAAAACAUCAAGAAGCUGUUGCAUCUUUAUCACAACAAAGGGCCGAUUUGUUAAAAUGACAGAAAAGACAAUAUAGCAUGUGCUAGUAACAUGGGGUGAUCUAUGACCAACUGAUGUAAGAUGUUCUCCGGUUAUAAUAUAUACAUGUAUUAUCUUAUCUUAUCUUAUAGACGAUAAAACAUUAAAAGACCAGGACAAAUACAGAUAUACAUAUAUUCAGAAUGAGAAAAUCACGAUUUAAAUUUGUUCAAUAUUAUUUGGCUCUUUGACAAGUUACGUGGUACAUUGUAUGGCACCUUGCAUAAAGGAUGUUUAUAAUAAAAUAGAAUCAAUAUUAAAAAAAUCAAUAGUCUUGGCCUUGUUAUUGUAGGAAUACCUGUUCAAGGUAUGGAAAUAGAUGAU
rnacentral:lncRNA from 1 species